CCUUUUAUGGAAGGCCAUUGCUGGAAAUUUCCACCAUAGAGGAAAGCCAGGGUUCUUUUUCUAUUUUUUACAGAACAGGGAGGGAACAAGUCAGGGGUGAGAGAUGAAAGGGGAUGGCUGAAGGGAACCGCACCUCUUUUCCUGAAGUUUUUGCAUGUAUAUGAUCACUCUUAGCUUAUAAAGACGAAGAUUUGAGCUUCCUUGCCGAUCUCCUCCAGUGUUGACCACUUUUAUGGAGCCCCCAGUGCUAUACUAGAGCUAUGGUCUAAUCAAGGCAUCAACAAGCAUGAAGUUUAUGAUUUCAGAAGAAACAGGACAAGACAUAUUGCACAUCAAAUCCUAUAAACGACAAUCCAGCAUGGCCAACAAAAAUAGACCAUUGCAGCUGUGCUCUGGCUGAGUGUUUAUUUAUUGGAGAAGAGAAAGGUACAAUCAAGAAAAGGGGGAAUCAUGUCAGGAUGUUAUUGGAGUCAAGCAGAUUGACUGCCUGAAGUGAAAGCCCUGGCCAUGCAGAGUAAAGGCCAGCGAUUGGGUCAGAGGCAGGAGAACAUUGGAGGCAUGGACUUACAGCCCCAGUAUUGAUUUUACAUUGAAUUCCAGGUUUUGCUGCAAUUAAAAGCUACUGCAAGGUUUUGAGAAGAGAAAUGGUAUGAUCAAAUAAUUAGAGCAAUGUGGUUUUCAUUUUAAUUAGGAAAGACCA
rnacentral:lncRNA from 10 species